rnacentral:tRNA from 1 species
GCCCGGGUGGCGAAAUUGGUAGACGCAAGGGACUUAAAAUCCCUCGGGACUUAUCCUCCCAUGCCGGUUCGACCCCGGCCCCGGGCACCA